ensembl:lncRNA
AUCAAAUUCCAUUUCAAUUUUAAAUUAAUUCCCAGGAGCUUGGUUUGUGUGUCUCCCAGGGAAGUGUCUGCUGGGUAAAGUGAGGCUCAGCUGUGGCUCAGUCUUGUGCGAGGGAUGUGUUCUGCGAUGGGCCCGGCAGGGGGUGACUUCCCCACACGAGUUAACUGCUGCUGUUGUUACCGUCCCCAUCAGCACCGUCAACAAGCAGACCCGAGUGCUCAGACUGUGCCUUCCUCUGCCAAGUCUUCGCUGCUGUUUCUCAACUAAGAAGAGCCAGAGCUGGGCCCCAGGAGGGGUGCCCGCCGACUCCAGCUGCCGUCCCAGGAACAGCACGGGCAAGUGCCGCCCGCCUGAGGCUGGAGGCUGGGAGGAGCUGCCCAGAGCGUCUGAGUACAAGAGAAGUGACGUUGUUGAGCAUGAGGGCACCUUUUGGCACCUGGCCUGCAGUGGCUGGAAUGUGACCUCUUCCUGAGACCUCAGAAUCGCCAGAACUUAAUCUUCUUCCUCCAGGGAGAGGCCAUGUAACCCUCCAGCACCUUCCAUGUCUCCGCUGCCUGGUUCGAACCCUCACUCGCUUGCCUCUCUCCCUUUUCUCCCCCCUUACCAGCUCCUCUCCCGCUCUGCCCUGUCUCAUCUGCUGGACGCUUCUGGUAUGGACUGUCCCUGGGUCUGACAGCACCAGCUGGCUCUGCAGCCUCCUGUUUCCUUCAGAGUGGCCAUGUCUCCUUUGAGGGCUGCCUUCUGCCCUUGGGUGGAGGGGACGAUCAGGGUGUGAGGGGUGUGACAGCCAGGCCGGGAGUGACUUCAGGAGCCCUCCAAGGAGAGGUAGUGGCUCAGCGUUUGCUUUUCCCCUUGUGGCCAGUAGGUGGUGCUAGAUGCCAGCCGAGGCCCAGCCGAGGCCCAGCCGGGGCCUUGACAGAGCACCAGGCAGCUCUCCUUUACAGGAAAGGGCUCUGCCUGCCAAGUAGCACUUUUGGGUGGGGUGCAAGGCCCUGUGACUUGAGGGCUGAUUCGGGACAUGGGCGGGGCUAGGAGAAUGUGAUUAUUUCCCUUCACUAAACCCUGUGGCCUUACAGGCUGGUUUCCCCUCUAGGAACUGGGAACACCUUGAAGAGAACCUGUGUGGGAUGCAGGAUCCUGCCUCCCUUUUUGCUCAGAGAUCUCCUCCAAGCAGGGGGCGGCUCUCUCUCCUCCGGGCACUCAUAGCAAGCUUUACUUCACGUGGUCGGGGCACUUCACACACGGCAAGAAUGAGUUGUUUUCUCAGCUCCCUUCCUUAGGAGACCAUCAUUUUCUAAUCCCCUCCAUGUCCCCAGUGCAUGCCUAGGGCCUGGCACACAGCCCAUGCUCCUUACGGGAGCACAUGACUGAGGGGAGGAGGCAGUGGUGCACAGAGACUGUGCUGCCUUUCCCCCAUAGAGAUCUUUAAGAACACAGGUCGGCCCUCUGCCUAGGGUUUUUAGGGAUUGCCCAAUCAAUAAAUGAUGGGAAUGAUGGCCUUGAAGUCCCUCUGGAAGACAAUGCCUCGCUCAGAACUUCACACACGUCUGUUGAAUAUGCUUCAUUUGAUGAGCAUUUAUUGCAUAACUGCAACGGGCCAGGAUGUCUCUCUAAGAAGGAGAGAAACCUCUCCACAUUCACAAGGGAGAGGACUGACACAUAGCCUGGACCCUGGGGUGCUGGGCCUCUGGUCUCAGCUCUCCAGUGCGCAGAGCCUGGGGAAAUGCUGGACUUCUGGGGCUGACCAAUCAGCAAGUAGCAAGGGGGACCUUCCUUGAGAGCUCUGCUGGACAGGACCCGGGCUGCUGGGCUCAGCUUGCACAGCCAGUGCACGCGGGAAGGGGGACAUCGUCUCGGCAGGGAAGUAAACCAGCAUUGGAGUGAUUGGGGCGGGCAUGUGCUCCUCAGACACAAUUACUCUUCUCUGGCUGAGACUAAACGCUGCAGAAUGUGCCAUGUUAUUGAAGCCUAUUAAAGUAGCCCAAGCAGACCUGUGGCUGACACGACAUGGGGAAAGGGUAGGUGAUUUGCUGGGUCUCCGAAGCUCCGGACAGACGACAAUGGAAGGAUGCAUCAACGAGGAGGGUAUAACAGGAAUGAAAGCAAAGUUCUGCCCAGAAAGCCACGUGGUGGCGGGAGGCAUGGGCUCAGAGUCAAACACAUGAAGACUUUAGUGCUUCUCAUUGAUACAGUGCUUCUCACUGAGUCAGCCGUGGGGUGCGGGUGCCGUAUGAAUGAACUCAUGCUGGAGAAUGUUCAGAGUGAAGAUCCGAGCUCCUGUCAACCACUCUGGAGAGUUCUGUUCAGUCCUUGGGAACUUGAGACGUGAUUCAUCUAAUACCAGCUCGUUUGGAAACCCUCCCUCUGUUCCUUCUUCCUGUGUCACUUUCCAGUCUCUAUUGACAUCUCCCAACUAAAGGCCAGAACUGCCUUUUUUUUUUUUUAUUUAUUCUUUUUCUGAGGAAGAUUAGCCCUGAGCUAACAUCUGCUGCCAAUCCUCCUCUUUUUGUUGAGGAAGACUGGUCCUGACCUAACAUCUAUGCCCAUCCUCCUCUACUUUAUAUGUGGGACGCCUGCCACAGUGUGACUUGACAAGCAGUGCCAUGUCCGCACCCGGGAUCCGAACCAGCAACCCCUGGGUUGCCAAAGCAGAAUGUGUGAACUUAACCACUGCGCCACCAGGCUGACCCCAGAGCAGUCUUUUAAAAGACGCAAUGUGCUGACACAGACAGCGAGGGAACAGUGGGACAAGGAGGCUGGAAACCAGUUCACAGGAGAAACCGCUGAAGGACCCCAAGCUCUUUGUGACAGAGAGAGCUAGGCCUGGGGAGCCUGAGGCUGUGAUGAGUGAGUCUGCUUGUGCUGAGAUUGCCCAUUGAGCAGACGUGCCCUGGGCCCCCUCCGGAGGAGGUGAGUACCCUGGGUCCCCUCAGGAGGGGUGGGUGAAAGCCCAGGAUGGGGUUGAGUUGAAGCCCCUGCAUUUCCUUCUGGGUCGCAGAGACUGAGAGCAAGUCCCUCUCCAUCCCUUUGUACCCUGGGGCGUCCUUGGGGCCACUUAGCCAUAACCUGAAACAGCUGUAAAGGUCAGUGGCCUCCCAGCUUUGCCUCUCCCACUGGCCCUGUGACUGUGCCCCGCUAUUUGCUGAGCCGGGGACUGCUAAUUGUGCUGAAUUCUCUUGGGUCUCUGGGUGAGGACAAGGGCCAGCGGCAGAGCUCACAUGAUCAUGGGUCCCAGAGGCAGGACAGCUCAGACCCGAAGCUUUGUGCUGUUCCCGCUCCCCUCCUGCCCCCAUCCCAGCAAGAGGCCAGGGUUCAAAUCCAAGCUCUGUGAUCUUGGACAAGUUGGGCGACCUUUUUGGGCCUCAGCAUGGGCGCUUGCUGGGUGGUGGUAUCCUUUACAUGGGGCACCCCAGGAACCACACUCUCCACGUCUCACACUGUGGUAUGAGGCACCUACAGCCAGAGGCUGUGGGUCCUGGCCCAACAACAUCUGCUUGGCUGGAAUUAGGGUGACCGACCUGCCUGGCUUGCCCUGGAUGGAGGGGUUCCUGGGAUGCAGGACUUUCAGUGUUGAAAUCUAGAAAGUUCUGGACAAAGUGGGACAUGUUGGUUACCUUAGCUGCAGUCCCCAUCCGUCUGCUCUUCCCCUGCCACGUGACCAGUCCUGCUGUUGGCCCCCAGCCGAUGAUUCACUGGAAGAUGGUGUGGGGCAGAUGUUGAGGACUGAUGCUCCGUCCCUGUCUUCAGCCCUGUUUGUCAUCCCCACAGAGCGCAGGGGCUGGGGGCCACAUAUCUCACUUGAUAUGGGUUCGUUCUCGCUUCUUG